CAGUAAGAGCACCUCUUCACGGCCUCUGCAGGAAGCUCUGGUCUCCAGUUCCCUGCCCAGUUUGAGUUCCUGUCCUAGCUUCCUUCAAUGGUGAAUGGCAAUAUAGAAGACAGAUUCUCCGAGAUGUGGAAUCUGGACAUUCACACGCCAGGCAGGAGUUGGUUUCCAGGAUGCUGGCUCAAUGGAAUUGAAAAGUUGCUUCACAGAUUUUGAAGUGGGACCAGUUCAUCCAUCAAGCUUAUUGCCAGCCAGCAGGCUGAGAGCACAUGAGGGUCCACCAAUGGGGAUAAUGGGCAUACAGGCUCGGAUAGUGUGACUCAAGGUUGAAACUAAAACCAUAACAAUUAAGAUCACUAGAAAGUGAAGAAGAGUGGAGCAAGAAGCAAAAGAACUAUUGGAUGAGGCAAGAGUUGAUCUAGAGAUGAAUGCAACUGAGAGCCAAGGAGGAACAGAGCAUGUGCAGCACCGACUAGGAGGGGGGAGGACUGACAUCAUGAUACAAAGAGGAUCCAGCAGGGAAUUCCUAAAGUUACCUGAGCUGAUGUUGGUUGGGAGCACAAACCUAUGCAAAGAUAGCCCUCACCCAGCCAAGAAACUCAAGACAAAUCACUGAAGCCUACUAGUCAGCAAGGAGAUCCAAGCUGUUGAACUUCCAGUCAGUGUGAGAGACUUUCAGAAGAUUAUAAGUUGCAAGAAAGGAGAGGCACCCAGGCCCUAGACUGGGUGUUGACAUGAAGAGCUUUAAGGCAAAUAGAGCAGGGUAGAGAAUCUCUGACAGGGUUUGUAAUGUGCUGCUCUCAAUGAUGUGUCCCAUACCAAGAUUAAGAUGAGGUUCAGGGGCAGGAAACUGACCAUGAAGGAAACCUUGCAUGGGAUUCAAGAAGCAGCCAGUGGAGUCCUAGAACUGAGGCAACGAUCAUGGCUUUGCUUAACACUAGACUGACA